GAGGGUAUAGCUCAGUGGCAGAGUGCCUGCUUAGCAUGCACAAAGUCCUGGGUUCAAUCCCCAGUACCUCCA
rnacentral:tRNA from 1 species